CACACACACACACACACACACACACACACACGGCUCCAGACUAACUUUUUGCCUUGGUUGCACUGGUGCACCUAACUUUUUUAUUUAAGUGCACGAGCACAAAAUUUAGGUGGACCCAAAUUUUUCCUCGCGUCGCUGUUAACGCUGAAUGGGGAUACACGAUAUAUAGCUCUGUAUUUUUUUACCAAGUGGGCUAAAUGACGCCCGGAUAGCUCAGUUGGUAUA